GGAGGGAUGGCAGAGCGGACGAUUGCGACGGUCUUGAAAACCGUUGGGCCCUCGCGGGUCCCGGGGGUUCGAAUCCCCCUCCCUCCG
rnacentral:tRNA from 1 species